GGAGGAGUAACCUGUUGGCGGUUGGUCGGUGUCGCAGCAGGUUGGUUGAAAAGCCCAAACUGCUAAAAGCUUUUCUGGCUCCAAGAGGACCGUGGCAGAGGUGGUGCUGCUGAGGAGUGCCUGACAGAAGAGCUAUGUCCUUGUUUCCUUUAAAGUAGAAGGACUCAAAACAACCUAAAGCAAAUUUCUUGGCUUACUGCACCAGGCCUGUGUCCCAUCAUCAUCAUCGCUAUGAUGAUGGUUUACAGAUUUUAAAUAAAAAACCACAAUUUUUUGGUA